rfam:Oryza nivara chromosome 9, whole genome shotgun sequence.
UUCUAAUGCACUGUUCAUAUCUAGCGUUUGACCGUUUAUCUUAUUUAAAAUUUUUUUAUGAUUAGUAUUUUUGUUGUUAUUAGAUGAUAAAAUAUAAAUAAUACUUUAUGUGUGACUAUUUUUCAAAAAAAAAUUAUAAUUUUUUCAAAUAAGACAGACGGUUAAAAGUUGGACACGGAUACCCACAGUUGCACUUAUU